rnacentral:rRNA from 1 species
CCUACGGGAGGCAGCAGUGGGGGAUAUUGGACAAUGGGGGGAACCCUGAUCCAGCGACGCCGCGUGAGUGAAGAAGUAUCUCGGUAUGUAAAGCUCUAUCAGCAGGGAAGAAGAAAUGACGGUACCUGAGUAAGAAGCCCCGGCUAACUACGUGCCAGCAGCCGCGGUAAUACGUAGGGGGCAAGCGUUAUCCGGAAUUACUGGGUGUAAAGGGAGCGUAGACGGUGAUGUAAGUCUGGAGUGAAAGGCGGGGGCCCAACCCCCGGACUGCUCUGGAAACUAUGUGACUGGAGUGCAGGAGAGGUGAGCGGAAUUCCUAGUGGAGGGGUGAAAUGCGUAGAUAUUAGGAGGAACACCGGCGGCGAAGGCGGCCUGCUGGACUGAAACUGACGUUGAGGCUCGAAAGCGUGGGGAGCAAACAGGAUUAGAUACCCGGGUAGUC